rnacentral:rRNA from 1 species
GAGCGAGAACGGGGCUUCGGCCCUUAGUAAAGCGGCAGACGGGUGAGUAACACGUGGGUAAUGUACCCUUCGGCGGGGGAUAACAGUCCGAAAGGAUUGCUAAUACCGCAUUCGUCGGCCGGGACUCCGGUCCUGGUCGGGAAAGGUGGCCUCUCCAUGGAAGCUACCACCGAAGGAGCAGCCCGCGUCCCAUCAGCUAGUUGGCGGGGUAACGGCCCACCAAGGCUUAGACGGGUAGCUGGUCUGAGAGGAUGAUCAGCCACACUGGAACUGAGACACGGUCCAGACUCCUACGGGAGGCAGCAGUGGGGAAUAUUGGGCAAUGGGCGCAAGCCUGACCCAGCCAUGCCGCGUGAGUGAUGAAGGCCUUCGGGUCGUAAAGCUCUGUGGGGAGGGACGAAACAGGACGUGGCUAAUAUCCACGGCCCUUGACGGUACCUCCUUAGCAAGCACCGGCUAACUCCGUG